rnacentral:rRNA from 1 species
CACACUGGGAUUGAGAACGGCCCAGACUCCUACGGGGGGCAGCAGUGAGGAAUUUUCGGCAAUGGGCGCAAGCCUGACCGAGCAACGCCGCGUGCAGGACGAAGGUCUUCGGAUCGUAAACUGCUUUUCUUUGGGACGAGCAAGGACGGUACCAGAGGAACAAGCCCCGGCUAACUACGUGCCAGCCGCCGCCGUAACAC